rnacentral:lncRNA from 1 species
UGGGGUGUUCUUGGGUGUUCCUGAGGUGUUCUUUGGGUGUUCCUGGGGUGUUCUUUGGGUGUUCCUGGGGUGUUCUUUGGUGUUCCUGGGGUGUUCUUUGGGUGUUCCUGGGGUGUUCUUGAGUGUUCUUUGGUGUUCUUGGAGUGUUGCUGGGUGUUCCUGGAGUGUUUCUGGGUGUUCCUGGGUGCUCCUGGAGUGUUCCUGGGUGUUCUUGGAGUGUUCCUGGGGUGUUCUUUGGUGUUCCUGGAGUGUUUCUGGGUGUUCUUGAGUGUUCCUUGGUGUUCCUGGGGUGUUCUUUGGGUGUUCUUGAAUGCUCUUUGGGUGUUGCUGGGUGUUCUUUGGUGUUCUUUGGGUGUUCUUGGGGUGUUCUUUGGUGUUCUUGGGGUGGUUUUUGGUGUUCCUGGGGUGUUCCCAGCAGCUCCCAGCACGGUUUUGGUGGGGUUGGGGUUUUUUUGGGUGGUCAAGGCGGCUCAGGGACGCUCGGGAGAGGUCCUGGAACCGCUGCAAUUGUGAGAUGGAACGGGAAAAAGUUCCUGGAAUUGUGAGAUGGAACGGGAAAAAGUUCCUGGAAUUGUGAGAUAGAAUGGGAAGAAGUUCCUGGAAUUGUGAGAUGGAACAGGAAAAAGUUCCUGGAAUUGUGAGAUGGAACAGGAAAAAGUUCCUGGAAGUGCUGGAAUUACAGCUCUGGAAAAGCCUGGAAAGUUCUGGAAUUAUGGCUGUGGAAGGGCCUGGAAUUACAGCUCUGGAAUGUUCUGGAAUUACGGCUCUGGAAGGGUCUGGAAUGUUCUGGAAUUACAGCUCUGGAAUGUUCUGGAAUUGCAGCUCUGGAAAGUGCUGGAAUUACGGCUGUGGAAUGUUCUGGAAUGUUCUGGAAAGUCCUGGAAUUAUGGCUCUGGAAGGGCCUGGGAUUACAGCUCUGGAAGGGUCUGGAAUUACAGCUCUGGAAAGUUCUGGAAUUACAGCUCUGGAAAGUGCUGGAAUUACAGCUCUGGAAGGGUCUGGAAUGUUCUGGGAAGUGCUGGAAAGUGCUGGGAUUACAGCUCUGGAAAAGCCUGGAAAGUUCUGGAAUUGCAGCUCUGGAACAUUCUGGAAGAGUCUGGAAUGUUCUGGGAAGUGCUGGAAUUAUGGCU